rnacentral:rRNA from 1 species
ACAGAGGCCCCAAGCGUUACUGAGAAUCACUGGGUUUAAAGGGUGCGUAGGUGGCGCGUUAAGUCCGUUGUGAAAUCCCUGGGCUCAACCCAGGAAUUGCUUCGGAUACUGGCGUGCUUGAGGCCGGUAGGGGUCACUGGAACUGACGGUGGAGCGGUGAAAUGCGUAGAUAUCGUCAGGAACGUCGAUGGUGAAGACAGGUGACUGGGCCGGAACUGACACUGAGGCACGAAAGCGUGGGGAGCGAACGGGA